GGAUUAGCUCGGCCUUCUCCGCUUCCCUCUUGGCCUUCUAGCCACAGGCCUUCGCGCGGCCGGCUCAUCGAGGAGCGGUUCAGUCCCGGGGCCAAUGGCCUGUGGCCGGAAUGGUUGAAUUCACAGCCUCUUAGUUCGUGCCUUGCCUACCAUGGGUUCAGCAACAGUGCACACAGUGAGAUACGAGGCUGAUAGCUCUAAGUUGCUAAGAGCUGGAGAGAGUGAUUGUCACCUGAGGGGUAAGGAGCUGAUGAAAGCUAGUCAGACUUCCCAGAUGACCAGAACGCCUCUUGCCUGCACACAGUCCUGCCCAAGUGGACUAUAACGGACUGGUGAGAAGUGAGCCAUUUCGGGCCAGCAUUAAAUGAGUGGGUGACCCUAGAAGAUGUGUCCCAGUGGGUCAAGACCCCACUGCAGCUGCCAGAAGGGUGCUAAUGACGUCCUCCAACUCUUGGCCCUUCCACAGAAGAAGAAGGGGUGCGGUUUGUAAAGGUGCUUACAGCUGAGCUGGACGCCACCGUCAGCCUGAGUAGGCACGCUCUGGCUGCUGCCUCUGAGCCACCGGCAGUGCUUUCCCAGGCCUGCUGUUUCUGAGAAAGUUACUCCUUUCAGGCUGCUGAGCUGGAUCUGUGUCACCUCAGACCUCUGUUUUUUUGUGGACAUGCGUGUGGGCGAUCCAGUGGGAGGAACUAGGAGACCUGGGACAGAGGCCUGAGUGAUUCCAGCAGCACGGAAUCCUUCUGAAACAUUGAUACUCAAGUCUGCAUAAAGUUCAGAGUUUCUUUGUUUUCUGUUUGUCACAAAGUGUCUUUCUCUCCAGCAAGUCAAAGUGAAGAAAAAAAUGGCUUGAGCUAUUGUGAACUGCAAGAGGCAAAACCCCAGUUAAGUCCCAAGUUAUGAACCGGGAGCCUCCCAGGGCCUUGUGGGACCAUGAGAGUCAAGUCUUGGGCAAAUAUAUUGUUCUUUUAGCAAUCGAGACCAACAGCAUCGCCUCUCCUCUGUGACCACUGAAGGCUAGUGGGGUGCAGCUCUGGAGAAUUCAGGUGACUGCUUUUACCCCAUGUCCACUGGAGACCCACUGGACUCUUCUCCAAGGUUCAGCCUUUGGGGAUCUUUCAGGGCACCCCUAAGAAAGAGGGCAAACUUCCUGACUUGACUCCCAGAGGAGUGAUAGGGGCUGGCCAGCUGGGGACACGGCCUCUUGUGGGAGAAACCCUUCUCCUCUGGUUGUGGGAACUGGCAUGCUUUGUUUUUCCUGCUGC
ensembl:lncRNA